UACAGAGGUGGCAAGCGUUGUUCGGAAUUACUGGGCGUAAAGCGUGCGCAGGCGGUUUUGUAAGCCAGAUGUGAAAUCCCCGGGCUUAACCUGGGAAUGGCAUUUGGGACUGCAAGGCUGGAGUGCGGCAGAGGAGACUGGAAUUCCUGGUGUAGCAGUGAAAUGCGUAGAUAUCAGGAGGAACACCGAUGGCGAAGGCAGGUCUCUGGGCUGACACUGACGCUCAUGCACGAAAGCGUGGGGAGCAAACAGG
rnacentral:rRNA from 1 species